UACGGAGGGUGCAAGCGUUAUCCGGAUUCACUGGGUUUAAAGGGUGCGUAGGUGGGCUGGUAAGUCAGUGGUGAAAUCUCCGAGCUUAACUCGGAAACUGCCAUUGAUACUAUCAGUCUUGAAUACCGUGGAGGUCAGUAGAAUAUGUCAUGUAGCGGUGAAAUGCUUAGAUAUGACAUAGAAUACCAAUUGCGAAGGCAGCUGGCUACACGAAUAUUGACACUCAGGCACGAAAGCGUGGGGAGCAAACAGG
rnacentral:rRNA from 1 species